GGCUGAAUGGCGUAGUGGUUAGUGACCCUGACUGCUAUUUCGCAGGUCCCGGGUUCGAUUCCCGGCUGGGGCA
rnacentral:tRNA from 1 species